rnacentral:lncRNA from 1 species
UACAAGAAAAAAGGUUUUAAAAAGAGAGUGGCAAGGGCCUGAAGGAGUUCUUCUGGAAGUUCAACUUGGACUUCCACUUCUGCUGGAGUUCUACUGGCAGUUAUACUGGAGUGGAGAAUAAUUCUUCAUUCAGAAGAGUGCUAACUGAAUCUGUUUUUCCUGGUUACCCUGUUCCUUUGAGCUGACAGGUGGGAUAGAAGAUGGGUUUCUCAAAUUAUUUUGGACCAACUCUUUUCACUUGUGUGGGCUAGCUUCCUCGUCUAUAAAACAAGAGGACUAAUCUAUCAAGUUCCUUCUGGCUCAACAUUCCAGAUGCUAAUUAAUAGAUCAAAAAACAGCAACAAGGCCAUCGGAACUCAGGUUUCUUUUGGUGAUCAAAGAUCAAGAAUGAAAGCCUUAUGGAUCAUUAGUACAAUUCUGAAAGCUCAUUAUUUAUUCAGCCAUCCCCUAGAUAUCCUGGCGAAUUCAGUGAGUGCAUCAUUCUCUCAGUCCCUCUCACAUUCCUUGGCUGAUAAAUGGAAAAUCAGAUGCCCCAGUUCUGAUUCCAGAAUCUAGAAAGAGUAAUCUAAGUCCUGACCAGUUAAGAGUGACUUUGUUCAAUACUUUUAAUGUGAGAUUCAAGGAUUCUGACUGACUGCUUGUAGACACACCUGGCCUAAACUGACUUUUAUUUACCGAACAAGAGAGAAACGGUAAUCUCACUUUUCUAUUAACCUACAAUGGACCAUGCUCUAGGGUGGGAACUUUCCUUGAAUUUGCUGGGAACAAAGGAGUGAGUAAAGAGGUCUGAGAGACAAACCCGAGUCUCAGUUCAAAUCUCAGAAAUAGAAAUAUGUCAAUAUGUUAGAAAUAAAUCUUCUGAAUUCUUAAAAUAGAAUAACUGA